GGUAAGCUUUUUUUGUCCAUAAUGAAGAUUUAGCGCCGUCGCUGACUUCCGCCGAACACGCUACGCACCGGCUCCUAGCGAUUCUGACGUGCAAAUCGAUCGUGAGAUUUGGGUAUGGGGGCGAAAGACUAAUCGAACC
rnacentral:ncRNA from 1 species